UGAAAAAGCGAGCAGCGAGGGUUUACAACUCUGGAUUUCAAAGAGGCUGGGGGGCUGAACACUAGCAACACCAGGCAAGCCAGACCAUAGGUCAUCUCUCUCUCUCUCUCUAGCAACCCCACAGCUGCAGUAAGAAUAAGCAAACACAGCAGUAGGGGGAAGACUUAAAACAGGAGGGAGGAGAUGGAAAGUAGGGAUUGCGGCUGAGGCGGGCGAUUUAUUCUUCUGGCACGUGCGGAGGGGCCGGGUUUGGAUCAGCUGUAUUUAUUUAGUGAAAGGACCAAAGAAAAGGAGGCAAGCGAGCAAAGCCAGUUUCGCCAGAGAGAGGGAGAGAGGAAAAGAAAAAAGGCAAGAGUUUGAAUACCCCACCACCACAUGGUUAAAAAGGAAAGAAGAGGAAAGAAAAGAAAGCUGCAGGUGUUUGCAAGAGGGAGACAGAAGAGAAGGAGACGGCGACCGUCGCUCUGGGUCCGCACAGCUAGGAAUUAGCAAGGGAGGCGAAGUUGUGAGGGCCAGUGUGGAGGCUAAGCUUAGCAGUCUUUAUGUCUGAGUCCGCCUCAGUUCCGAAAUGGAGAGAAGUAAAUUCAGCACUGGAGGAAUCGCUUUUUGAAAGAAUGCUGCUUCAACCAAUGUUGACAGUUUGCAUGUUCAGCACACCUCCAAUUAAAAAUGUACCAGGCCAUCUCUGUUGCCAUGCCUCAUCCAUUGUAUUUUACAGAUAUUCCAGAUGAUGUCAUCCUCCACUCUUGUUUUUCCAGCACUGCUUCUGUCUUUUUUACUGUGGAGAAUCCAUUAAGAAAAAAAAAAGAUGGAAUACUUGCAUGGUGCCUUCUAAUUGUCCUUUUACUUUUCCUACCUUAUGGACAGUGGCGCUGUGUAAAAGCCAUGCACACAUGCCAUAUCUAUCAAAUGUUAAGCUGGAUCAGAUCAUGAGUUUUCAAGCCAUUUGUAAGAAAUGUAUACCUGUCAAAAUGUGGCCUUCACUCAUGAUAGUAUAUGACAUAUUUCUACAAAGAGGUUGUAUCUGUGUGUGUGCGUGUGUGUGUGGGGGGGGAAACCUGUAUGAACUGCUCUUGAAAUACGUUCUGUCUUAUGACUAUUGUAGAGGGAUCGCUAAACACCGAGGACCAGUUAUUUAAAAAAAAGCAAAUUGCAGCUUGCAGCAUUAUUUCUGAUUGCAUUCUCAUCUGUUGCCCCUGCCCCAAACCCCAGGCAAGGGGAGACAAACUUCCACUUGGCCCUCAUUAGCCAAAAUGCUUUUGUCCAGUUUUGCAUAUAAGUAUCCAAAGUCACAAGAAAUCUAUACUGAUCCCCAUUGUGAUUCCUGAUUGUGCAAACUGAAGUGUAAAAAAGCACCUGUGGAACAAAUACAUACUUCACCGAGAGAUAUGUUUCUCACCUUCCAUUUAAGCAUUAAAUCAUCUCUAGGAGGAGAUAAUAUCUGUAUUAAGGUAGGGUGCUGGUGGGGUCUUCUUUUUUUCACCCUAGUGUUUUUGUUGUAACCUUAGUUCCUAUGUAAGCUGCACUUGCUCAAGUAUAACCAGGACUAAUGUAUUCGCGAAGGCUUUCACGGCCGGGAUCUAAUGGUUGUUGUGGGUUUUUUGGGCU